AGUGGCGCACGGGUGAGUAACGCGUGGGGACCUACCUCUUAGUGGGGGAUAACGGUUGGAAACGACCGCUAAUACCGCAUACGCCCUUCGGGGGAAAGAUUUAUCGCUAAAAGAUGGACCCGCGUUGGAUUAGAUAGUUGGUGAGGUAACGGCUCACCAAGUCAGCGAUCCAUAGCUGGUUUGAGAGGAUGAUCAGCCACACUGGGACUGAGACACGGCCCAGACUCCUACGGGAGGCAGCAGUGGGGAAUAUUGGACAAUGGGGGCAACCCUGAUCCAGCCAUGCCGCGUGAGUGAAGAAGGCCUUCGGGUUGUAAAGCUCUUUCAGAUGCGAAGAUGAUGACGGUAACAUCAGAAGAAGCCCCGGCUAAUUUCGUGCCAGCAGCCGCGGUAAUACGAAAGGGGCUAGCGUUGUUCGGAUUUACUGGGCGUAAAGGGCACGCAGGCGGUCUUGCCAGUCAGGGGUGAAAGCCCGGGGCUCAACCCCGGAACUGCCUCUGAUACUGC
rnacentral:rRNA from 1 species